GGCUCUAUUGUGUAGUGGUUAGCACAUCUGCUUUGCAUGCAGAAGGUUCUGGGUUCACGUCCUAGGUGGAGACA
rnacentral:tRNA from 1 species